rnacentral:rRNA from 1 species
CACGUAGGGCGCGAGCGUUGUCCGGAAUUAUUGGGCGUAAAGAGCUCGCAGGCGGCCUGUUGCGUCCGCUGUGAAAGCCCGGGGCUUAACCCCGGGUCGGCAGUGGAUACGGGCAGGCUAGAGGUAGGUAGGGGAGAAUGGAAUUCCCGGUGUAGCGGUGAAAUUCGUAGAUAUCGGGAGGAACACCAGUGGCGAAGGCGACCACCUGGACGAACACUGACGCUGAGGCGCGAAAGCGUGGGGAGCAAACAGG